AGAGUUUGAUCCUGGCUCAGAUUGAACGCUGGCGGCGUGCCUAACACAUGCAAGUCGAGCGGUAACAGGUGUAGCAAUACAUGCUGACGAGCGGCGGACGGGUGAGUAACGCUUGGGAAUCUGCCUGUUAGUGGGGGACAACCCGGGGAAACUCGGGCUAAUACCGCAUACGCACUAUGGUGGAAAGCCGGGGACCGCAAGGCCUGGCGCUAACAGAUGAGCCCAAGUCGGAUUAGCUAGUUGGUAGGGUAAUGGCCUACCAAGGCGACGAUCCGUAACUGGUCUGAGAGGACGACCAGUCACACCGGAACUGAGACACGGUCCGGACUCCUACGGGAGGCAGCAGUGGGGAAUAUUGGACAAUGGGGGCAACCCUGAUCCAGCGACGCCGCGUGGGUGAAGAAGGCCUGCGGGUUGUAAAGCCCUUUCGGUUGGGAAGAAAAGUUCUGACCUAACACGUCGGGACCUUGACGUAACCAACUAAAGAAGCACCGGCUAACUCUGUGCCAGCAGCCGCGGUAAUACAGAGGGUGCGAGCGUUAAUCGGAAUUACUGGGCGUAAAGCGCGCGUAGGCGGCUUUGUAAGUCGGUUGUGAAAUCCCCGGGCUCAACCUGGGAACUGCAUCCGAGACUGCAUGGCUAGAGUAUGGGAGAGGGAAGUGGAAUUUCAGGUGUAGCGGUGAAAUGCGUAGAUAUCUGAAGGAACAUCAGUGGCGAAAGCGACUUCCUGGACCAAUACUGACGCUCAUGUGCGAAAGCGUGGGGAGCAAACAGGAUUAGAUACCCCGGUAGUCC
rnacentral:rRNA from 1 species